rnacentral:rRNA from 1 species
AGAGUUUGAUCAUGGCUCAGGAUGAACGCUAGCGGCAGGCUUAACACAUGCAAGUCGAGGGGCAGCACGGGUAGCAAUACCUGGUGGCGACCGGCGGAAGGGUGCGUAACGCGUGAGCAACAUGCCCUAUACAGGGGAAUAAACCAGGGAAACUUGGUCUAAUGCCCCAUAGCAAUAAGAUAAGGCAUCUUAUUUUAUUUAAAGCUUCGGUGGUAUAGGAUUGGCUCGCGUGACAUUAGCUGGAUGGUGGGGUAACGGCCCACCAUGGCGAUGAUGUCUAGGGGUUCUGAGAGGAAGACCCCCCACACUGGGACUGAGACACGGCCCAGACUCCUACGGGAGGCAGCAGUGAGGAAUAUUGGACAAUGGAUGGAAAUCUGAUCCAGCCAUGCCGCGUGCAGGAAGACGGCCCUAUGGGUUGUAAACUGCUUUUCUACGGGAGCAAUAAGGUCUACGCGUAGACUGAUGAGAGUACCGUAGGAAUAAGCAUCGGCUAACUCCGUGCCAGCAGCCGCGGUAAUACGGAGGAUGCGAGCGUUAUCCGGAUUUAUUGGGUUUAAAGGGUGCGUAGGCGGCUUUUUAAGUCAGCGGUGAAAUUUUGCAGCUUAACUGUAACAGUGCCGUUGAUACUGGGGAGCUAGGAUUUGGUUGCUGUGGGUGGAAUGUGUGGUGUAGCGGUGAAAUGCUUAGAGAUCACACAGAAUAUCGAUUGCGAAGGCAGCUCACAAAGCCAAGAUUGACGCUGAGGCACGAAAGUGUGGGGAUCAAACAGGAUUAGAUACCCUGGUAGUCCACACUGUAAACGAUGAUAACUCGCUGUCGGCGAUACACAGUCGGUGGCCAAGCGAAAGCAUUAAGUUAUCCACCUGGGGAGUACGACCGCAAGGUUGAAACUCAAAGGAAUUGACGGGGGCCCGCACGAGC